rnacentral:lncRNA from 1 species
AAACUGAAUAUAGCGUAGUAACGCUUGUAUACGGUUCAACAGUAAAAAAAAAAAAAAAAUGCUAAAACUUGUAACGCUUUACAGUGGUUAGCAAACUGUACAAAGCAGUGCUCGUCUGUUGUACAGGUUUUACGAGCAGAAGGAUGUUGUGUAGGCGAUGUCUGCUGGCCGAUAUACAUUACUCGUUUUUAAAACGACCUCUGAUCCUGUUUCCGGACCAUGCAGACUUUUAAUUUCUAAAGUGCUAGCCAAGGAGAACAAAAAAAAAAAAAAAAAAAAAUUCAUUCAGAAAAUUGUAAGGCACCAUCCAUUUAAUAAAGAAAAGUUGUCCCUACCAGAAAGAAAAAACUGUUGCUGGAAAAGAAAAUGAGUGAAGCAAUGUUUUUCUCUACUUUCAUCUGAUUUGUUCAUUUAUAUCACGUAAAAACAACAUUCUAUACAUAAAACUUAUAUAUACACAUAC